AAUAAGUGCAGCCUUGAGUUUCUGCGCCCAACUUUGAUCGUUCGUCUUAUUUGAAAUUUUUUUAUAAUUAGCAUUUUUGUUGUUAUGAGAUGAUAAAACAUGAAUAAUACUUUAUUCGUGACUUAUGUUUUUAAUUUUUUUAAAAAAAAAUUAAAAACAUAAGUCACGAAUAAAGUAUUAUUCAUGUAUUUUUAAAAAAAUUUCAAAUAAGACGAACGGUCAAAAUUAGGCGCGGAAAACCAUGGCUGCACUUAUU
rfam:Oryza rufipogon genomic scaffold, chr02